UACGUAGGGUGCAAGCGUUGUCCGGAAUUAUUGGGCGUAAAGAGCUCGUAGGCGGUCUGUCGCGUCGGCUGUGAAAUCCCGGAGCUCAACUCCGGGUCUGCAGUCGAUACGGGCGGACUGGAGUUCGGCAGGGGGAGACUGGAAUUCCUGGUGUAGCGGUGAAAUGCGUAGAUAUCCGGAAGAACACCGGUGGCGAAGGCGGCCUGCUGGGCAGUAGCUGACGCUGAGGCGCGACAGCGUGGGGGAGCGAACAGGGAUUAGAAACCCCCUGUA
rnacentral:rRNA from 1 species